rnacentral:rRNA from 1 species
UACAGAGGGGGCAAGCGUUAUUCGGAAUUAUUGGGCGUAAAGGGCGCGUAGGCGGCCUGGCAAGUGGAAGGUGAAAUCCCUCGGCUUAACCGAGGAACUGCCCUCCAAACUGCUUGGCUUGAGUCCGGGAGAGGUGAGUGGAAUUCCCAGUGUAGCGGUGAAAUGCGUAGAUAUUGGGAGGAACACCAGUGGCGAAGGCGGCUCACUGGACCGGAACUGACGCUGAGGCACGAAAGCGUGGGGAGCAAACGGG